GCAAAGGUAGCUUAACGGAUUAAAGCACAGCACUGAAAAUGCUUCAAAGGGAGUUAAAGUCCCUCCCUUAGCA